CCUCUCAGAGGGGGAUACCGAUUGGAAACGAUCGUUAAUACCGCAUAACAUAAUUGAACCGCAUGAUUUGAUUAUCAAAGAUUUAUCGCUGAAAGAUGAGCUCGCGUCUGAUUAGCUAGUUGGUAAGGUAACGGCUUACCAAGGCGACGAUCAGUAGCCGGACUGAGAGGUUGAUCGGCCACAUUGGGACUGAGACACGGCCCAGACUCCUACGGGAGGCAGCAGUGGGGAAUAUUGCACAAUGGAGGAAACUCUGAUGCAGCGAUGCCGCGUGAGGGAAGAAGGUUUUAGGAUUGUAAACCUCUGUCUUCAGGGACGAAAAAAGACGGUACCUGAGGAGGAAGCUCCGGCUAACUACGUGCCAGCAGCCGCGGUAAUACGUAGGGAGCGAGCGUUGUCCGGAAUUACUGGGUGUAAAGGGAGCGUAGGCGGGAUCGCAAGUCAGAUGUGAAAACUAUGGGCUUAACCCAUAAACUGCAUUUGAAACUGUGGUUCUUGAGUGAAGUAGAGGUAAGCGGAAUUCCUAGUGUAGCGGUGAAAUGCGUAGAUAUUAGGAGGAACAUCAGUGGCGAAGGCGGCUUACUGGGCUUUAACUGACGCUGAGGCUCGAAAGCGUGGGGAGCAAACAGGAUUAGAUACCCUGGUAGUCCACGCCGUAAACGAUGAUUACUAGGUGUGGGGGGACUGACCCCUUCCGUGCCGCAGCAAACGCAAUAAGUAAUCCACCUGGGGAGUACGACCGCAAGGUUGAAACUCAAAGGAAUUGACGGGGGCCCGCACAAGCAGUGGAGUAUGUGGAUUAAUUCGAAGCAACGCGAAGAACCUUACCAGGUCUUGACAUCGUAUGCAUAGCUCAGAGAUGAGUGAAAUCUCUUCGGAGACAUAUAGACAGGUGGUGCAUGGUUGUCGUCAGUUCGUGUCGUGAGAUGUCGGGUUAAGUCCCGCAACGAGCGCAACCCUUACUGUUAGUUGCUACGCAAGAGCACUCUAGCAGGACUGCCGUUGACAAAACGGAGGAAGGUGGGGAUGACGUCAAAUCAUCAUGCCCCUUAUGACCUGGGCCUCACACGUACUACAAUGGCUGUCAACAGAGGGAAGCAAAGCCGCGAGGUGGAGCGAACCCCUAAAAGCAGUCUUAGUUCGGAUUGUAGGCUGCAACCCGCCUACAUGAAGUCGGAAUUGCUAGUAAUCGCAGAUCAGCAUGCUGCGGUGUAUACGUUCCCGGGCCUUGUACACACCGCCCGUCACGCCAUGGGAGUCGGUAACACCCGAAGCCUGUAGUCUAACCGCAAGGAGGACGCAGUCGAAGGUGGGAUUGAUGACUGGGGUGAGGUCGAAACAAGGUA
rnacentral:rRNA from 1 species